rnacentral:rRNA from 1 species
CAAUGGACUGAAAGUCUGAGGACGCGACGCCGCGUGAGCGAAGAAGGCCUUCGGGUUGUAAAGCUCUGUCAGGAGGGACGAAGGCGCUGGGUGUUAAUUAGCACCAAGCGUUGACGGUACUUCCAGAGGAAGCCCCGGGUAAAUACGUGCAAGCAGCCGCGGUAAUACGUAUGGGGCAAUGCGUUGUCCGGAUUACCUGGGCGUAAAGGGCACGCAGGCGGUUCGUUUAGUCGAAGGCUGAAAUCCCUGGGCUCAACUCAGGAACUGCCUUCGAUACUGGCGAACCUACGAGUGGCGUAGAGGAAAGCGGAACUCCUGGUGUAACGGUGGAAUGUGUAGAUCUCAGGAGGAAACACCGGUGGCGAAGGCGGGUUUCUGGACGCACACUGACGCUCAAGGUGCGAAAGCGUGGUUAGCAAACAGGAUUAGAUACCCUGGUAGUCCACGCCGUAAACGAUGGAUACUAGCUGUCGGGGUUAUCGAUCCCCUCGGUGCAGAAGUCCACGCACUAAGUACCCCGCCUGGGGAGUAUGCUCACAAGGCUGAUACUCAAAGGAAUUGACGGGUCCCAGCACAAGCGGUGGAGCAUGUGGUUUAAUUCGACGCUACGCGAAGAACCUUACCUGGGCUUGACAUGCUUGGGACAGCGCUGGAAACAGCGUCUCUCCAUCGGGAGUCAUAGCACAGGUGCUGCAUGGACGUCGUCAGCUCGUGUCAUGAGAUGUCGGGUUAAGUCCAUCAACGAGCGCAACCCUCGUUACUAGUUGCCAGCAGUUCGGCUGGGCACUCUAGUGAGACUACCGGUGACAAACCGGAGGAAGGUGAGGAUGAUGUCAAGUCAUCAUGGCCCUUACGCCCAGGGCUACACACGUGCUACAAUGGUCGGCACAAAGGGCAGCCAGACCGCGAGCUGGAGCUAAUCCCAUAAAGCCGGCCACAGUACGGAUUGGAGUCUGCAACUCGACUCCAUGAAGGCGGAAUCGCUAGUAAUCGCGGAUCAGCAUGCCGCGGUGAAUAUGUUCCCGGGGAUUGUACACACCGCCCGUCAUAUCACCCGAGCCGGGAUACCCGAAGUCCGUGACCCAACCAUUUGGAG